GGGGUGGUAGCUCAGCUGGGAGAGCACAGCGUUCGCAACGCUGGGGCCGGGAGUUCGAAUCUCCUCCACUCCACCA
rnacentral:tRNA from 1 species